GAUGAACGCUGGCGGCGUGCCUAAUACAUGCAAGUCGAGCGAACCACUUCGGUGGGAAGCGGCGAACGGGUGAGUAACACGUAGGUGAUCUGCCCAUCAGACGGGGACAACGAUUGGAAACGAUCGCUAAUACCGGAUAGGACGAAAGUUUAAAGAUGCUCCUGGCAUCACUGAUGGAUGAGCCUGCGGCGCAUUAGCUAGUUGGUGGGGUAAAGGCCUACCAAGGCGACGAUGCGUAGCCGACCUGAGAGGGUGAACGGCCACAUUGGAACUGAGACACGGUCCAA
rnacentral:rRNA from 1 species